UCUUGCACACUUUUUUUUUUUUUGUUAUAUGGUAAUGCAGGGAUCUUGUUAAUCUUGUACCUUGGAGCUUAAUUACAUUAGAGAUUGCAUUUCUUCAAGACCUUAAUCUCUUAGUAUCACCUCUUUCAUUUAUUAAAUUUUAAUUUUUUGUUGGUUUUAUGUUUGUCUAUUGAAUGUUGUGUUAUGGAAUUUGUUUUCUCCACAUAUAUGCAUAUUUAUUUUUUGUCUAUCUAUGGUGUGAUAAUCAUGGUUUUUGACACUCUCGCUCUUCCUCGUUCCUUACGUUUCAUCUUCGUCUUUCUCAUCAUUAUCUUCCUACAACUCCAUGUAAAAAAUGGUCACUGCAUAACAAAGUUUGAACAUAAGUCAGUCGAAACUUAUGGAAUAAGCAAUAUUAUUCAUUCUCUUUUUGUUUGCUUUUUGAUCCUUAAUUCUCUUGAAUCUCAUGGUACCUUAGAGUCACUAAGUAGUUGACCUUUGUACGUUACUAGAUCAUUCCUGGUAAAUUACUAUUACAAAGUUGACGCUGUAAAUUUGUUGGUAUUCCAUAACCACAUAGGAAUUUAUAAUGUAUAUUUUCUGCAUCUAGUUUUCAAUCCAAACCCAUCCUCAAGUUCACCAUGAAAACCUCUACAUUACCCUUGUGUUGCAUGGGUACAUUCGUUAGUAUUUGGGUUGUGUAUAAAAACGUUUUAGAUAAAGGAACACAGUAUUGCUAAUAUUGGGCACUUACAUCAACUGUGGCCCAAUUUUAGUUGACCAUAGUUAACCAAAAUGCCUGCUAAAUUUUCUAUUAUCUUCAAUCGACUAUGGCUUCAUCUCCGGCAGACCGAAGUCUUUUAGUAGCCUAUUUCCUAGUGUUUUACAUUGUUCCUUCCACUUUUAAGUUAUUAACUUUGCCAAAGUUAAUAAUCAAUUGCAAAAGAUGCAAUUUCACUUCUAUUAAAAUAUUAUUUAUAAGACCAUGUAAUCUGGGGUAUUAAACUUCCAGCUCCCAAACCCACAUCAUUGCAACACUUUAGAUUUGCCUAAUACAUGCUAAGUUAAGAAAAAGUUGGAAAGUUAAAACCAUUAUGAUUACCCUGCUCGUUCCACUCACUAUCUCUCCUAACCAUUUUAUAUUUCUUAUUUUACAGGUUGUAUAACACUAAAGAAUGAUUUCUUAAAUGACCAAAUUGGCAUCUAAAGGGUCUCUUACACAUCCUCAAACACUUGGUGAUGUGCAAAGAAAGUGGAAAAGUCAAAUAUUUGACUUAAGUGGUAAAGGGACCUGAAAUAAAUCAAGGUAUUCAUGGAAAUGUUAUUUGGUGUUGGUGAUGUUUAUUUAUGUCUAAUCUAACAUUAGAAUGAUUUUCAUUUAAGAGACUAUGUCAUAUGGGCAUUUAAGUAAAAAGGGAGAUAUUUGUAUAUAUAUAAGAAAUGGUCAUUUUGCCUGAGAGGAAGAAACAAGAAGGCAAAGGAAAGAAGAAGACGAUGAGGAGUGGUCGAUCGGGAGAGAGGAAGCAAGAAGGCUCAUUUGUUGGGGAUGUGAAGUAAAGGGUUUUUGAAAGCAUCAUCUCAAGUAUGAUCAUCAAGAAAAGCUUUUAAGGCAAGUUUUAGUCCUCUUUAUCUCUCUUGUAAGCUCUAGUUGUAGUGGCCCACUCUCGGAUUAUCCCACUAACAUAGAAAAAUUCGAAAAGAGGUCAUCACAAAAAUCAUAUAGAACGAUACUUAAAUAAAACACUUAACAUUUUUUUUUUCUUGCUCACUAAAUAACAGAAGCCAAAAAUAAUACAUUUCAUUAACAACUUGACUUAUAUAAUCCCUUAGGCUAAAUGGCCAUACCAUCCAAAAUAAAAGGACAAUAUUACAAAUUGCACAACAAAUUUUUCACUCUACAAGCCUUCAAACAAAAUAAACAAAAUACACCCUGGACCUUUUAGUUGGGAAUGCCUUUGUACACCUCUAGACAUGGGCUCUAAUUCCAUUAGACUCGCUCUCUACAAUUUCCUUUCCCUUACCUAGAAUGAUAAGAGUAAGCACUGUGAAGCACAAGACUCAAAAAGUAUAUAUAAUCAACAAGUGAGAUCGUAGAAUCAAGUCAUGGAUAGAUCAAAUAGAGUAUACCCAACUCCCCAAAAUACAAUAAAGAUUUCAUUAUUAAUUUCCCAUCAUUAAUACCAUCCCUCACCAUCGUCAUUAUGCAUUUUAUGCAACAUUUCAUUUCCCAUAAACAUAUAGAUUUCCAAGCAUUGCAUCAGCUCACACGGCCCUCCAUAUGAUCACAUCGGCUCUCAAAGCCUCCAUUCACAUGAAUCAUAUCGACUCACAUAGUCUUCCAUUCACAUGCAUGCAUGUGUAUAGAUAUAUAUAGAAACAUCAAUCAGCUAUUCACUUGGCUUGAGCAUUGUCUAUUGGGUUAUAUGGCCACCUCACCCGCGUCAAGCGCUCUAUAGGAUAUCAUUUUCUUUCUCAUCCCACGCAACAUAACCGCCACACUAAAAUAAUAAUAAGGGCGCUAAAAAUAAUGCCAUGGAAUUCUCAUGAGGUCACGUGUAAAUAUGACAUGCAUGCUUCAUUAUAGAAAUGUUCACAUCACGAUUAUCAUGCACAUUUAAACAUUUCAAUAUCAUUUUCAUUUAUGAGCCUGUUGUAUUUUUAUCCACAAAAUUUAACAUCCUUCAUUGAGUUUCAUUUCCAUACCAUUUCUCAAUAUCAAGUAGAUUAAUUACAUAUGUUCAUCAUAAAAGUCUCAUGCCAUUCGUUUCUUAUAACACAUGAUAAAUUUCUCCCCCUUAGGACACCCACAUAUCAUCAAGAAGUAUUUUAAGUCUCAUUUGAACACUACAAGAUGUUUGGGGAAAAGAUUAUAGGCAUUUAAGAAGCUAAAAAUUUUCAAAUUUUAGGCUUGGAUUAAAAAAUCACUAUAAGCUCAAUUUGAAUCCAAAUGAUUCAUAUUUUGUCUCAAAACAAAGCUUAUUGAGUUAGGUUAACAACGCAAAAAACGAAUUUUAAUUUCAACAUCUAGACAAAAAGUUAUGGUUAAAAGAGUACAAGGAACGCAAAGUUGUCUAGGGCAAAGAGUAGACUUUUGGAAAAGAGGAGUGGACUCUAGGGAUAUGGGAGUCGACUCUUGGUCACCUUAGUCAACUGGGCCAAUAACUUAUCAUGCAGAGUUGACUUUUACACAAAACAGUCGACUCCUACCCUUACAAAAUCGACUAUGAAGAACCCAGAAACAAAAAAUAUGAGCAACAAUACACAAAAACUCUUAUGGAUGAUUUUCUAACCCCCAAGUUGCCAUUCCUUAAAGAAAAUGAGAUGAACAACCCCAACAAGACCAACAACAAGACCCGACAAGAGAUUUAGACAAGCCACAAUAUUUAAGGGGAAAAUACAGAUAAUCACACAACCCAUACAAAAUAGUUUUAACAAGGAUAUGGAAAACAAAGACAUAUUUUGACAUUCCAACCGAAAGAAGGGGAAAACUUACACAAUAUAAAAAAAGUGCCAGAGGAACUUGCCUUAUUAAUGAAAACUGAAGAAAAAGAGAAGCCUUUCGUUGAAGCUGAAAUCCUUACUCUUUGAAACUCCAAGCAAGCAGAAAAAUGGAGGAAAAAGAAGAUGCAAAUGAAGAAGGAACAAAGAAAAAGAAGAAGAUGAUGAUGAUGAUGCAAAUGAAAAUCUAAAAACUGUAACAUAGUGCACAAAAAUUGUAACAUGCAUAAAAUAUAUUAAAGCCAAAGGAAAAGAGAUACAAAAUACAUAUAUAUACAUAUACCAUGAGACAAAGGCAAUACAUAUAUUGAAGCCCACAUAAAAAAGAUACAAAAUAUGUAGGAAACCCCAACUCAGCAACCCUUGAGCCAGGGAAGCCAAGGUGGAGUCCCUUGAGAAGAGAAAAAGACAUAUACAAACACAACGGAAGCAUAAUAUACAUAGAUAAGCUGUUAAGUACACCACAAGAACCAUUAGCCAGUCGCUAGCGUACUACCAUACACAACUACAAAAAGAACAAAAUGACAUCCUCCUGCACCCAAGAACACCAACCACUCUCCCAAGGGUCUUUGACUGGGAUUGCCCUGUACACACUCUACAUUGUCAAAUUAGACAUUGCCCUCGACCUUCGCUUUUCCCCUACUUGGAAUGAUGGGGAGCAAAAGUGAGGAGCAAGACUCAGCAAACAUAAGGAAAUAAAAAGGCUACAAGGCUAGAAACUACCUUACACAUGUUUCGCAUACAAAUCAUGCCAUGAACCACAACUCAAGCUACACAAUAAGAGAUGCAACAAUACACAAAUAAUGAACCAAGAGCCUACACAUAAGAUGCAGACUGGCACCCAAGGUUCCAUACAAACCUGCAUGCAGCCAUGAAUUGGCUAACAUAUCCCGAGCCAAAUGCUCCUGAGCCCAAAGCUCCCACAACAACCGAGCCGAAGCUCCCUCGGAAUGGUCUUCCUGUCACCCGAGCUCGUGGAUGUACAUUCUGCGAAUAAAUCAGUCGUACACAACAAUAACCAUGCAAUGCAACAUAUAUGGAUGCAAGGCUAAUGCAGCAUUAACGAUGAUACAUAAUUCCAUAAGCCACGCAUAAAGCCAUGCUAUGCCCACAUAGGAAUACGAAUGCCAUGCAGAUGCAUCCUAAACGCACACUCGCGACACAUUAACAUGCUCAUGCCCUUGCAUAUUGAACACAUGAACCCCCCAAAUGCCAGCCACCUUUAACCAUGUAACAAUAAAAUAAAGCUCUAAGCAUACAAACACCACCUUCAAUACCAUCUAGAAACCUAUCCCCGCAUGGUUAGGAAUCAUUCCACAAGAGUUAUAAGGCGAUGCAAACCCUAUAAAAUUAUGCAAGUGUUCAAGGAUAAGAAUUUUUAAGUAUAAAUCACAGUUCAAUCAGGAACCAAUUGAUCGAACAAUCAAAGAGUAUAAGAACUCACGUAAAAAGGAGGAGAACUUGCAUAAAAGGAUAGAGAGCUGACCAAAUGGGAGGAGAGUGAAAAGAACUUGUCUUAGAUUUUCACUUUUAAACCUCUUACAGUACCAGGGCUGUCGACAACUCAGCUCAAGCCUUUUCUUAAUAAAAUAAAGCUUUGGAAGACAAAAAAAAAUAUUUAAAUUAGAUGUCAACUGCACAUUUCAUGCUACUUAUCAUGUUUACGGCCACCUCUUUCGAAGCCAGGGUGUAUGGGGGCUCCCUUGGUACAGUAGCUGUGCU